rnacentral:ncRNA from 1 species
AAGUUGCUGCCACCGGGUAGUGAAUGCUAUAGCAUUCGUUCUCGCAUCAUUAGGUCUUAGAAGAUGCGAUUACGGAUGCUUUUAUUUU